rnacentral:SRP_RNA from 1 species
GCUGGGUGUGGUGGUGGGCACCUGUAAUCCCAGCUACUUGGGAGCUGAGGCAGGAGGAUUGCUUGAACCCGGGAGGCAGAGGUUGCAGUGAGCCGAGAUCAUGCCACUGCACUCCAGCCUGGGUGAUAGAGCGAGACUUUGUCUCAA